CCUACGGGAGGCAGCAGUGGGGGAUAUUGCACAAUGGGGGAAACCCUGAUGCAGCGACGCCGCGUGUGGGAAGACGGUCCUCUGGAUUGUAAACCACUGUCCCCAGGGACGAAGAUGACGGUACCUGGGGAGGAAGCUCCGGCUAACUACGUGCCAGCAGCCGCGGUAAUACGUAGGGAGCGAGCGUUGUCCGGAAUUACUGGGGGUAGAGGGAGCGUAGGCGGGACUGCAAGUUGGGUGUCAAAUCUACCGGCUCAACCGGUAGCCGCACACAAAACUGCAGUUCUUGAGUGAAGUAGAGGCAGGCGGAAUUCCUAGUGUAGCGGUGAAAUGCGGAGAUAUUAGGAGGAACACCAGUGGCGAAGGCGGCCUGCUGGGCUUUUACUGACGCUGAGGCUCGAAAGUGUGGGGAGCAAACAGGAUUAGAUACCCCAGUAGUC
rnacentral:rRNA from 1 species